AGAGUUUGAUCCUGGCUCAGGAUGAACGCUGGCGGUAUGCCUUAUACAUGCAAGUCGUACGAGAGUUUUUAACUCUAGUGGCGGACGGGUGAGUAACACGUAAGAAUUUGCCUUUAGGAGGGGGACAACAACUGGAAACGGUUGCUAAUACCCCAUAUGCUUUCGAGUGAAAUGGAUUUCCGCCUAAAGAGAAGCUUGCGGCUGAUUAGCUUGUUGGUAGGGUAAUGGCCUACCAAGGCGACGAUCAGUAUCUGGUUUGAGAGGACGAUCAGACACACUGGAACUGAGACACGGUCCAGACUCCUACGGGAGGCAGCAGUAGGGAAUUUUCCGCAAUGGGCGAAAGCCUGACGGAGCAAUACCGCGUGAGGGAUGACUGCCUAUGGGUUGUAAACCUCUUUUUUCAGGGAGGAAUAAAUGACGUGUACCUGAAGAAUAAGCAUCGGCUAACUCCGUGCCAGCAGCCGCGGUAAGACGGAGGAUGCAAGUGUUAUCCGGAAUCACUGGGCGUAAAGCGUCUGUAGGUGGCUCGACAAGUCAACUGUUAAAUCUUGAAGCUCAGCUUCGAAAUCGCAGUCGAAACUAUCGAACUAGAGUAUAGUAGAGGUAAAGGGAAUUUCCAGUGGAGCGGUGAAAUGCGUAGAGAUUGGAAAGAACACCGAUGGCGAAGGCACUUUACUGGGCUAUUACUGACACUCAGAGACGAAAGCUAGGGUAGCAAAUGGGACUAGAUACCCCAGUAGUCCUAGCCGUAAACAAUGGAUACUAGGUGUUGAACAGAUCGACCUGUGCAGUACCAAAGCUAACGCGUUAAGUAUCCCGCCUGGGAAGUAUGCACGCAAGUGUGAAACUCAAAGGAAUUGACGGGGGCC
rnacentral:rRNA from 1 species